rnacentral:rRNA from 1 species
UGGGGAAUUUUGGACAAUGGGGGAAACCCUGAUCCAGCCAUCCCGCGUGUGCGAUGAAGGCCUUCGGGUUGUAAAGCACUUUUGGCAGGAAAGAAACGUCGCGGGUUAAUACCCCGCGAAACUGACGGUACCUGCAGAAUAAGCACCGGCUAACUACGUGCCAGCAGCCGCGGUAAUACGUAGGGUGCAAGCGUUAAAUCGGAAUUACUGGGCGUAAAGCGUGCGCAGGCGGUUCGGAAAGAAAGAUGUGAAAUCCCAGAGCUUAACUUUGGAACUGCAUUUUUAACUACCGGGCUAGAGUGUGUCAGAGGGAGGUGGAAUUCCGCGUGUAGCAGUGAAAUGCGUAGAUAUGCGGAGGAACACCGAUGGCGAAGGCAGCCUCCUGGGAUAACACUGACGCUCAUGCACGAAAAGCGUGGGGAGCAAACAGGAUUAGAUACCCUGGUAGUCCACGCCCUAAACGAUGUCAACUAGCUGUUGGGGGCCUUCGGGCCUUGGUAGCGCAGCUAACGCGUGAAGUUGACCGCCUGGGGAGUACGGUCGCAAGAUUAAAAACUCAAAGGAAUUGACGGGGU